rnacentral:rRNA from 1 species
CCCUUAGAUGUCCUGGGCCGCACGCGCGCUACACUGAGUGUCUGAGAUACGAGUCUGCCUGGUCCGGCAAGGUCUAGGUAAUCGCUAAAAGACACAUCAUGCUUGGGAUAGAUUAUUGCAAAUAUUAAUCUUGAACGAGGAAUUCCUAGUAAGCGCAAGUCAACAGCUUGCGUUGAUUACGUCCCUGCCCUUUGUACACACCGCCCGUCGCUACUCUGAUUGGAUGUUUAAGCGAGGUUCUCGAACUGCUAGCGACUUAGCUUCGGUGAGGUCGCAGUGUGGGAAGUGAACCUAGCUUUGGUGUCUAGAGGAAGUAAAAGUCGUAACA